rnacentral:rRNA from 1 species
GACGAACGCUGGCGGCGUGCUUAACACAUGCAAGUCGAACGGAAAGGCCCUGCUUUUGUGGGGUGCUCGAGUGGCGAACGGGUGAGUAACACGUGAGUAACCUGCCCCUUACUUUGGGAUAACUUCAGGAAACUGUGGCUAAUACCGUAUAGGAGCUCCUGCUGCAUGGUGGGGGUUGGAAAGUUUCGGCGGUUGGGGAUGGACUCGCGGCUUAUCAGCUUGUUGGUGGGGUAGUGGCUUACCAAGGCUUUGACGGGUAGCCGGCCUGAGAGGGUGACCGGCCACAUUGGGACUGAGAUACGGCCCAGACUCCUACGGGAGGCAGCAGUGGGGAAUAUUGCACAAUGGGCGGAAGCCUGAUGCAGCAACGCCGCGUGCGGGAUGACGGCCUUCGGGUUGUAAACCGCUUUCGCCUGUGACGAAGCGUGAGUGACGGUAAUGGGUAAAGAAGCACCGGCUAACUACGUG